UUACGGUCAAAUCACCUUGAAAACACCGGUUUUCGGAGGAUCACCGAAGUUAAGCAGUGUCGACUCCGGCCAGUAUUUAGAUGGGGAACCGCUUGGGAACAUCG